GAUGAACGCUGGCGGCGUGCUUAACACAUGCAAGUCGAACAUGAAGCCCAGCUUGCUGGGUGGAUUAGUGGCGAACGGGUGAGUAACACGUGAGUAACCUGCCCUUGACUCUGGGAUAAGCCCGGGAAACUGGGUCUAAUACCGGAUAGGAUCGCCUGUCGCAUCACGGGUGCUGGUAAGAUUUUUCGGUCAUGGAUGGACUUGCGGCCUAUCAGCUUGUUGGUGAGGUAAUGGCUCACCAAGGCGACGACUGGUAGCCGGCCUGAGAGGGUGACCGGCCACACUGGGACUGAGACACGGCCCAGACUCCUACGGGAGGCAGCAGUGGGGCUAUAUUGCACCUAUGGGCGGAAGCCUGAUGCAGCGACGCCGCGUGAGGGAUGACGGCCUUCGGGUUGUAAACCUCUUUCAGCAGGGAAGACUCGAAAGUGACGUACCUG
rnacentral:rRNA from 1 species